GCUGUUAAUAGCCCUAGCUCACCACAUUCUCCCUUCUGGUUCUUCUAUAGCCCACCCACACCUUUAAAAAUAGUCUCCUUGAAAUUAAAUCUUCCUCAAAUUAUCCUAAAUUAAGUGUACCAUGUGUUUCAAAUUGCAGCCUCAACUGGCUCACUGCCUUCUUUAUCCCAGCCUCCAUUGCAGUGAGGUUGGGGGCCAUAUGACUACUGCUGACCAAUGGACUGUGAACAGAAACGGCAGCAUCACUCCCAUGGAGCCUCCUCCAUCUCUCUUCCCUGUUGUGACAAUCUCAGAGGCUACGUUCUUUCCAUGGCUGGGCUACAAGGUGGUGAAAGGCUGCCCAACCUGGUUUGCAACGCCACCUCAGUAAGCUGAGAUGUGGUAAUUGCCAUGGCAACGGGGCUGCCUUAAAAGCACUGUGCACACACAGUGAGAGACUGGUGCCUGACAGAGUUCAGUCUGGUCUCACUGCACAUCUUCCCUAAUUAAGAUGCACCUUUUGGUUUUGUCUUUUUUGGGGAAAAAAAAAAUGCUCCCUUUAUAGCCACGAGGCAGAAGAAAAAUUAAGGCCAAGAUCCUUUCAUGCCCAAUAUGGGCCUGCUUGGCUGUUGGAGCAUGGGGGAUCAUGGGCAGCAAGUGAGAAAGUGCACAGUGAUUUGCCGCUGUUACAUCCUGAGAAACUGGAGGGAUGUCAUCAAAGUCCUUGAAUAGCUGGAGAGUGGGUGUGGGAUGGUUAUGUUUGAAAAUGUAGCUCUGAUAUAAAACAAAGCAAAGACUGCACUGUUUGCCCAACAAGAGCCUUGCUGGAGACCCUAAGCCUAAGAUAGAAGCUUCUGCCAUCAACAGGCCACAAAACCCAUACUUCCUGCUCUAUGAGGCUUCUGAACUUGGUUCCCUGGAAUCCUCCCUCCUUAUCAGGUAUCUGCGUCUAGGCCUAGGGGAGACCAGACCGAGGUCUGUCCUUGUCUGCCUACAAGGACAAGGCAUUCUACUGCCGUAGACCACUUGUUUAUGUGUCUCUAAAAUUUGUAUGUUAAAGCCUGAAUCCCCAGUACGAUCAUAUUUGGAGGUGGGACUUUUGAAAGGUGAUUAGGUUUAGAUGAGCUCAUGCGGGUGGGGCCCUCAUAAGGGUAUUAAUGUCCUUAUGUGAAGAGACACAACGGAGCUUGCUUCCUCUCUCUCUUUCCCCACCAUGUGAAGACACAGCAAGAGGGCAGCCGUCUGCAAACCAGAAAGAGAGCCCUCACCAGGAACUGGAUCUGCUGGCACCUUGAUCUUGGACUUCCCAGCCUUUAGAGCUGUGAGAAAUGUCGCCCUCAGGUCAAUGGGAUAUUUGUUACAGUACCAGAACCUCUUUCGGCGGGGCAGAGCAUGGCUCCCCAAGUCCCACAGACCUGGUCUGGAACUCAGCUUCACCGCCAACUGCCUGUGUGACCUUGAGGAAGUUACAUAACCUCUCUGGGGCUCAGUUGACUCGCCCCAGAAUGAGAGAGGUGGCUGUGACGUUAAAGGAGGUAUUCCUUUCCAAGGACCUGGAAGGCCAGGUUUGACGUUGGAAUUGUGACUGUCAGAGUCUCGUGCUGGAAGGUGAUGGCCGGGGAGAGUCAGCCCCUGUCGUCCUCCAGCCCUUCUGCUUCCCUCACUAACUUCCACCUUGCCUGGCAGGGGUCUUCUCAGGGUGCACCUGAGGGUGCCCACCUGGAGCGUCUAAGCUCAGUUCACACCCUUCAAACUCAGCAGCCCCUUGGUCGAAAGACAAAGGCGUCAGUGGGCGUGGGGUCUGCCCUUCAGACAGAAGGAAGAAGACCUCAGCGGGGAGAGGGGGCAGCUCUGGGGCAGGACAUUUUGGUGUCCUGGGCCAUGCAGGCAAGUCUCUCUCUUAGGAUCCCAUCUCUGCCACUGGGUCUGGGGGAAUGAAUGCCUGCUGGUCUACUUCCUCGAGGAGAGGAGGUAUUUUUUCACCCAAAAAAAAUUAAAAUAAUUUUUAAAAAUUAAAAAAUGAGACUAAUAGUCAGUUCCCAGUUCUCAGCGCUUCCAUAUUGCUGAUCAUCUGAACACGGCUAGGUUUCUAGCCUAUCAUCUUACUGGCUUUAAAAAUAUAUACACGGCCAGGCGCGGUGGCUCAAGCCUGUAAUCCCAGCACUUUGGGAGACCAA